GAUGAACGCUGGCGGCGUGCCUAAUACAUGCAAGUCGAGCGAACAGACGAGGAGCUUGCUCCUCUGACGUUAGCGGCGGACGGGUGAGUAACACGUGGAUAACCUACCUAUAAGACUGGGAUAACUUCGGGAAACCGGAGCUAAUACCGGAUAAUAUAUUGAACCGCAUGGUUCAAUAGUGAAAGACGGUUUUGCUGUCACUUAUAGAUGGAUCCGCGCCGCAUUAGCUAGUUGGUAAGGUAACGGCUUACCAAGGCAACGAUGCGUAGCCGACCUGAGAGGGUGAACGGCCACACUGGAACUGAGAAACGGUCCAGACUCCUACGGGAGGCAGCAGUAGGGAAUCUUCCGCAAUGGGCGAAAGCCUGACGGAGCAACGGCGCGUGAGUGAUUAAGGUCUUCGGAUCGUAAAACUCUGUUAUUAGGGAAGAACAAAUGUGUAAGUAACUAUGCACGUCUUGACGGUACCUAAUCAGAAAGCCACGGCUAACUACGUG
rnacentral:rRNA from 1 species